AGGAAAAUAUCUAAUUUAACACUAUUUAUUCUUUAGAGGCCAGAGGUUCCAGAACAUGGCCUACCAUAGGGAACAAGUCCUCAGCACUGUUCCAUCUCCCUCUUAUUUAUUAUUUAUUAUUUUUGGCCUCGGUGGAGUCAGCACCCAGCGAACCCCGGUAGUCAAUCUAUUUAUGGCUAGCUAUUUGGAGACACGAUCUCGAGCGGGGUCCAAACCUGCUUGGCAAGCAAUGCGUAGGGAAAUGAAUUCUUUUUAACCCGACACUCUAAGCCCUAGGCCAGCAGACAGGCUGCCAAACGAACAGAGGAAAUCGUCAAACUUCACUCUAGCCCAGGCAUUCCAGUGCGUAGCCGGAUUGCGUCAUUGCGUCAUCGAAGCGCAGCAUCUUCCGGGCGUACUUCCGGGAAUGGCGGAGCUGCUCCACUUGGGUGUUUCUCACGUGUGUUGGGUCACUCGCUGUGAAAAACAUAUCAAUGGCUGCUAGAAAACAUUCAAUGCACAAGAGAGCCAUAUCUCACAGCUGGAGAGCUACUCACGCCGCUGAAACUUGAGACUCUUUGGCCUGGAGGAAAAAGAAAAUCGAGAUGAGAGAAAAGAGGUCAUUAAAAUCUGUCAAGCUUUAGCCAGAUAUGAAGGAAUAACUUCCAGGCUCAGUCGACGUUGCACAACGCGUUGGAGCGAAGAAAAGCAGCGACACACGCCCCAGAGGUCUCAUCAUUCGUUUUGCCCUUUGAUUUCAUCGUGAUGCUGUUUGGCGCUCUGCGAAACACUGCUUUCCUGCGAGAGAACAAACUGAAAUUUGUUGAGGACCUGUCUGCUGAGGAUCGAGAAAGGAGAAGAAAGGUUUUGCCUGGCAGUGGAAAAAGCAAGAAAAGAAAAAAAAAAGAUUGUUUUUUUUUUGUCAAAGGACGUGCCUUUGUGGAUAGAACUGAAAUCUUCCCCUAACUUGACGAUAAAAUGCUGAUUUUUUUUUUUUUUUUUUUUUUGCCAAAUAGGGUACAGUUCCCACUGACUUUUGUUUACAUUUGAUAUUGGUAAAAUGGUAAAUGGUACUGAACUUAUAGAGCGUAUAUGACUCUUAUAUGUUGCCCUAAAGUUUACACAGUGCAGGCUGCACCUUUASUUCUCUUAAAUGAAGGUAUUUCCACUAACCUUAAAAAACUAUUUGUAAUGUUCGUACUGAAUAAGGUUUUAAAAUUUUAUUCUCAGGUUGCUCCCUAAUUUUAUUUAGGUGAUUUGUUGGUUGAUUGAGAGCUUCCAUUUGUAUUGUUAGUCAAAGAAGACUUUAAUUUUUAUACGUUUACUUCCUGUUCUAACUCUUGUCUUUUGUUUUUUCUUUUUUGUUUAAGUUCUAUGUCUUUAUCUAUUAUUUCUUUAAAUGUGAGAGGUCUCAGAAAUCACUUAAAACGUAAAGCUUUACUUCUUCAUUUUAAACAGCAAAACACAGAUUUUUGCAUUCUUCAAGAAUCCCAUUCUACUACACAUAGUCUAGGAAGGUGGGGGUCCCAUGCACCCGAAAGAUAUAUUUUUUAACCUAACUUUUUGUACUCCUUAAGGUGUCUAGUGGAUUGUGAUGGCUCUUUCAGAUUUUUUAGUGAUCAGAUACUCCAUUAAAUAGUUUAUAUAAAUAUAAAAGAAGACACUUUAUAUGUUCGGCACUUAAUACAAUGAAAGCAGAAACUAAAUCUUUAAGAUGAGCCCACUGAGCUGCAAGGAAUCUACAGAUGUUGUAGACCCACACUGUUUCUGUCACUUCCUUUCAGGCUGCGGCAGAUGCCAGCUAAGCUGUUGCGAUUUCCAUCACAAGCUAUAAAAGUCAAAGUUGCUGGCUUCAAGGCUCCCAGUGUCAGCUGGAAUGAAGACGUGCUGCCCUACAGCCCCAAGUGGAGCAUGAGGGCUGUGAAGGAAAUGCUCGAUCUAUUGCACUGCAGCAUGACAGCAGCUGUGGUAAGAAACAAGAACAAACCCCAGUUGGAUUUUAUUGUCCUUCAGUUUAACUAAUUAAAGACARACUAGCUGCAACAUUUUACAAGUGAAUCUUAGAUUUAAAAAAAGCUGAAAGUUAAAGGUCAAAGCUCCUGUGUGCAUCUGUUUUUUUUAAAACACUGACUUUACAUAAAUUUUCUUCUCCAAGUCUCAAGAGCCAGAGCUGAACGUGAAGCUGUUUAACGAGGAUGGAGAGCUGGUCCACCUGCCUCUAGUCAGCCAAGGUCUGGAUGAACUCGACUGAAGCACAACAGGUGAUUUUUCCUGGGUUUGUUUUGAAAUAAUCUGUUCUAUUUUUGACGUUUGCUCCAGUCUUGUUGUUGUUUUUGCAGUUGACUUUAGUGAGUUGAUGUGGCUCUUUGUUUUUGAGUCGCUUGACUUGUGAGAGACAGCCUUAAAAUGUAUAAAAAUAUUCAUUAAAUUUCUUUAACACCA